rnacentral:rRNA from 1 species
UCCUACGGGAGGCAGCAGUGGGGAAUCUUAGACAAUGGGGGCAACCCUGAUCUAGCCAUGCCGCGUGAGUGAUGAAGGCCUUAGGGUCGUAAAGCUCUUUCGCCUGUGAUGAUAAUGACAGUAGCAGGUAAAGAAACCCCGGCUAACUCCGUGCCAGCAGCCGCGGUAAUACGGAGGGGGUUAGCGUUGUUCGGAAUUACUGGGCGUAAAGCGCGCGUAGGCGGAUUAGAAAGUUGGGGGUGAAAUCCCGGGGCUCAACCUCGGAACUGCCUCCAAAACUGCUAGUCUAGAGUUCGAGAGAGGUGAGUGGAAUUCCGAGUGUAGAGGUGAAAUUCGUAGAUAUUCGGAGGAACACCAGUGGCGAAGGCGGCUCACUGGCUCGAUACUGACGCUGAGGUGCGAAAGUGUGGGGAGCAAACAGGAUUAGAUACCCUGGUAGUCCACACCGUAAACGAUGAAUGCCAGUCGUCGGGUAGUAUACUAUUCGGUGACACACCUAACGGAUUAAGCAUUCCGCCUGG